rnacentral:rRNA from 3 species
UACGUAGGGUGCGAGCGUUAAUCGGAAUUACUGGGCGUAAAGCGUGCGCAGGCGGUUUGUUAAGUCUGAUGUGAAAGCCCCGGGCUCAACCUGGGAACUGCAUUGGAAACUGGCAAGCUCGAGUAUGGCAGAGGGGGGUGGAAUUCCGCGUGUAGCAGUGAAAUGCGUAGAGAUGCGGAGGAACACCGAUGGCGAAGGCAGCCCCCUGGGCCAAUACUGACGCUCAGGCACGAAAGCGUGGGGAGCAAACAGG